UCGCCUGCAGCUGGAAGUCAGAGAGGAAAGUGACGUCGGGGGAGAAGGCAGAGUUGUGUAAACAAAGUUGGAAAAACGGGUGAAAAUCUUUUUUUUUACUCCCAGUGGCCAAGAUGGCGAGGAGGAGGGAUUAUUCGUAUAUCAGCCCGUGUGUGAAAUGGACGCUUUUCUUCUUCAACUUCAUAUUUUGGCUGUUUGGGAUGUUGGUGUUGGCUAUAGGGCUGUAUGGAGUUGUGUUCACGGCUCAGGACUUACACGGCCUCAAGUCUGUUGAAACGGCCUACAUCAUCAUCACAGAUCUGUCAGGAGUUAUGGUGGUACUCGGCAGCGUUAUCUUCAUUGUGUCCUUCGCAGGGUGUGUAGGGGCUCUGCGGGAGAACCUCUGUCUGCUGAAGCUGUACUUCUGGAGCUUGACAAUCUUCCUAAUUGCUGAAUUGAUGUUUGCUAUUGCCUGCAUCAUUUUCCCAUGGAAGUCUAGGGAGAUUAUUGAACACUUGCUGUCAAAGCGCCUCAUCGAAGAGUACAGGGAGAGCCAAAACACCCAGAACUUUGUUGACUUCCUUCAGACUGAGUUUGCUUGUUGUGGAAUCACGGUAGAAGGUUACUUGGACUGGAAUGCAAAUGAAUACUUCAACUGCUCAGAGUCAAGCCCAAGUGCGGAGAAAUGUGGUGUGCCAGCUUCCUGUUGUUUGAACAGAAAAAAUUUGACACACUUUGACUUUAUGUGUGGGUAUGAUAUGCAAAAUAAAAAACCUCAUGAAGCCUCAGAAACCAUUUACACUGGAGGCUGUGUGACAUCCAUCAUUCAGUUCUUAGAAUCAAACCUCUAUUGGGCUGCUGGAGUCAUAUUUGGGAUCACCUUAUUCCAGAUGUAUGUGACACACCAGGCUCGCUCACUGAUGGACCAGAUUUCCCUACAGCGCUCUCGAUGGUACUCAUGAUUUGUGGAAGAUGAUGUCUUUCACUGAGAUUCUUUUUAUUCCUCCUUCCAUCCAUCCACGCUUUUUCCCUUUUUGAUUAUUAUUGCAAUUAUUCGUUUAAUCCAUGUGGGUUUCAAAAAGAGGAAAUUGACAGGCAGGCACACAAGAUUCCAUAGUAACCUAAAAUCUCAUUGCAUGUAAUCUCUUGCUGUGCUUUUUCUUCCUCUGUUUUCAGCAACGUAGAUAAUUUCUAGUACAGCAAAAAAUUAUUCUAUUUGACAUCUAAGUACAAAUGUUCUCUCGGUAUAAAUGCUUACACUCCCAGCUCAUUAUUAUUUAAUUAUGUAUGUGUAUAUCUGUAAAUGCACAUAUAUACCUAUGUGUAUAAUAUAUGCUCAAAAAUAUGAAACUGUAUGUUUCAUUAUAACUGUGAAUAUAACAGUGUCUUAAAUUAAUAUUUUUGUAAUCGGAGAGAAUAUGUCAUUUUCACUUUGUUGACAAAGGAAGAGGUGCUGCUUUCUCCCCUUCAUUCUUUUUCUAAUAUAUACUCAAAUGUGUUGCCUGCUGCCAAUUUUCCAUUCUUGGGGUGUUUGUUUGUAAUUUUUUCUAUUUCUUUUUCUCUUUCUUUCUUUUUGGGUCAGAUACAUACACAUUUUUAAAAGUGAGAAAUUUAAUUAACUUAAGCAUCCAUAAGAGGAUGAAAAUGCAGUUGCUCUUUGCUGCUGAAGAUAAGUUGCACAAAUAUUUCUGGCAGCAGAGAUGAGCAGGGGGACUUUUUCCCCUUUAUAUCAUUGCCUGCAAAUACAUGUUUUUUUAUUGUGCACAAAUUAUACAGAAUAUAUUUUUAGAACUACUGCAUUAAGAAUGGGAGCUUCAGAGAAGAGGGAUAUAUUUCCAUAUGUAUGAAUGUUUGCAAAUAGUUGAUAAUGUUUUAGUGGGCUAUUGAGCCUGCAUCAUCUUGAUUUGGGCAACACAGUCCAUCAAGUUCAAGUAGUAAAGAUAUUUUCCCCAGAUGUAAAUGGUUUUAUAUGAAUGUCUAGGGUGUAAUAAAGCUCAGGUACUUGACCCCAUGCUUACACCUAGAAUAGAAAAUACUUUGAUUCUCAAGCUAAGUAGUUUAUUUAUUUACAUGCACACAUACAAACAUAUACACAUACAUGAAUAUAAAUAUACAUAAGUACAUAUCCAUAUACAUAUACCUAUACUUAUUCCUACAUACAUAUGCAUAUACGUAUACAUAGACAUAUACAUAUAUAUAUAUAUACAUGUGCGCUCUCUUGCACAUAUAUUUACUCCAAAUAACCAAGAACCUGAUCUGUCUUAGGCAAUAAGAGAAGGCCUCAAAAUGAGUUACUCUGUACGUAAGGAACAAAGUGAUAAGAACAGUCUAUGUAAUCAUUUCUUUCUGAAACGUUUUUUAGUCACUGUGUCUGAUUUUGCACUGUGUAAUUCUACAUGUAUUUUUGAUGCAUAAAGAUUAACAUCUGUGAGUAACGGGUCGUUUGGCUGAACCAUAGGCCUUUUUUUUGGUCAAAUUUUCCAAAUCCAAAACAUUUUCAGAAGUGGAUGAUGUGUUCCAGAAGAAAAAAUGUCAUGGCGAGAAAUGUAAUUACGAAGAUAGAUGUGGCAUCCUACUUUCAUCAUGCAAUUGAUUAACUUGUAUCUUCACAGUAAUGUUGAUCAUAAUCUGAUUUAAUAUUCACAUGUACCGUUUGAGUUGUGCAUUCAUAUAGUAUUUUACAGUGAUGUUCUCUUUUGCGUUAUCUCGGCUGUGUUUUGUGACUGGAUAUUUUGUUUGACAUGUGUGGCUCUAUAUAUAUUAUAUUGUUAUUGCUUAUGUUAUGGUAAACACGGAGAACUGAGAAAUGAUGUGAAUUAAGAUGGUAUUUUAUAUAUAUAUAUAUAUAUAUAUAUAUAUAUAUAUAUAUAUAUAUAUAUAUAUAUAUAAAUAAAUAUAUAUAUAUGUAAUGUAUUACACACAUGUAUCUGCACUAAUAUUCAUAUAUUACUAGAUCUCUUUUAAUUGGGGCAAAAAGAGACUUUUGCCAUUUUUCUAUACAUUCUACUUACAUGGAUGCAAGUCCAGAUUUUUUUCACUCUGAUAUGGAUAUUCUAAAAAAAAAGUAUCCUACAGAAUCCUCAGCCAUUUAUUUGAAAUGCUUAGUUCUUUGUGCUUGAAUUAAAGAUUCUCCCUGUUUGCUACAGUAAUAUUCAAAUAUCUUAUCUGUAUUGCCUAAAACUUUGUAUGAUUCAUAAUUCAUGUGGUUGAUGUUAUCCCUGAGCUCCAUUCUGACUUACUCACGCUGCAUUUGGGUGUGCUGUCCUGCUUUCCACGGGGAAUGAAUCUCAGGUUACGAAGACAAAGGGAUGAGGAACUGGAAGGUCAUGCUUACCUGUUACCAAAGCAAUCUUACUAUUACCAAUGAAGUCACAUGACAGAAGGAAGUUGCCGUUUAGGACUGGUUCAAGUUUGGUGAAUGGUUUGGAAAAUGUUUUUCAUCCAGAUUUCAGCAUUCCAUUUUUCUGUGAAAAAGAGAAGAAGUUUUUUUGUUGUUUUUUUUUAGUAAUUGCACUGUGUUGGAAAUUCUCAACCAUGUCAAUACAGAUGCACAUCACUGCAGGGAAAUCCUUAGAUGUUCUCACUUUGAAAUGCAGAAUCCCAUGCCUUGUAGUUUUAGCCAUAAGUAAAAGAGUAUGAUAGACAAUAGAUAGAUAAGUUAAAUGAUAUUAAAAUGAAAAGUGAAUAGACCAGCUAGAUUCUUACAUGUUACUAAAGCUUUCCUCCAGAUGAUCACGUUGUCGGUGCCUUCCAUGAUAAGUUAACAUACCAUAAUAUCUAAAGUUACACAGUAAGUAAGCAGCAGAAAAACAAAAAAAACAAAAAAACAUGGAAGUAGAGUGGAUCUCUUGAUUGCUUAGAAGUGAGCAUGUGUGCUGAGUAUUUUUAUUUUUAUUUUAUUUAUAAUGUUUUAUUUCUGUGAGUGUGUGUGUGUGCGUGUGUGUGUAUAUAUAUAUAUAUAUAUAUAUAUAUAUAUAUAUAUAUAUAUAUAUAUAUAUAUAUUUAUAUAUAUAUAUAUAUAUAUAUAUAUAUAUAUAUCUCAUGUGUGAUGGAAAGUAAGUUCGAGUUUCUAAGCACUAAGUUCUUAAGCCAUAGUAGGAAAACAAAAUUGAGAGUUUGUUUUUCACAUCUUGUUGGAGAAAUGAUGUUAGGAGAGGCUGCUGUUACAAAACUUUGUAAUUGUUAGAUAUUUGUGCCUAUUUGUAGUAGAAAGUUCUAUAUUACAUUUUUUCUUUCUUUUAUAUCUUUAUGUCAGGGUAUUUGAAGAUAUUAAUAAAAAUAUAUAUAUAUUGAUAGAAACAACUGUGUCAUAUCUCAGUGUCAUAGGUUUAUAACAUCAUGUCCUAUAUGCCUACAUUUCUAUAGGCUUAUUUAGGUACAAAUAGAAUGUGGAGAUUGGCUAUUUUUUAAAGAAAUGAAUGAUCAACCUUUUUUGAUUAAAUGUGAUUCAUACUAUAAUCCCAUAGCCAUUUAAUAGAAUAUAUUUUGAUCUAUUUUAUAGAUUUUGUAAGAAAGUUAUUGACUUGAUUGCAAUUUUGUAUACAUUAUCACAUCCCUUUCAGAUCCAUAUAUAGAAGACAAUUUUAGACAUGUUUUUUUUUUAGUCAUUAUAGCCAUGAAAAUUGUAUGAUGAAACCCUGAAUGUUUUUUAUAUACAUUAUAUUUAUCUAUUUAUCAAUCUCUAUCUAUCUAUUCAGUUAUCUCUCUGUCUAUGUGUAGGGGGUAAUUAGAGACAUCAAAAAUGUCUAGAGUUUGUCACUUCUUAAUUGUUGCGAGGUCUGAAAAGGACAAAAUAUGUAUUUUCAUUAGAAUGAUAUAUUUUAUACAUGUAAUUCUAAUAAAAUGGAUGUACCAUGCAAAAUUGCAAUUAAUGAACUAUUUAAUUUCUGCAAUUGAUAUUCAUCAUUUAAAUGUUCAUUCACCAGAACACAGUAGUCUCUUGUGGUUUAUUUUCCUCCUUCAUGUAAAAGGGAGUGAUCUGUCUAAGCUCUUAGGAUAUGGGUGCCAGUACACACACGCACGUACGCACAUACACAAGUGUGUGCGUGUGUACACUUACACAUACAAGUACUUGCAUAAUUCCAUGCAGUCAGAUAGACUGAAUAGUCAGCUGUAUCAUACAGCUGUAAUAGGCAGCACAAAGAGCACUUUUUAGGAACAAAAGCAGUCUCUAGUACUCACGUGUUUUUAAAGGAGAGUAAAGAAGAGCCUCUGUACAAUCUUAUGCAAGACUGAGCUUUUAUUUGAGUACAGGCCUAAACUUUAAUGUUUUGGACAGAGUAGGGUUUUGAUGUCGUUUUAUAAAUCAGUGGGAUUUAGCAGCUUGUUGUUUGAGUGGAUUGCAGUGUCUAUCAUGAUACCAAAGAAGUAAACUGCAUUUCAGUGAUACACAAUGAUUGUAUAAUUUAGAUUUUUUAUUAUUAUUAUUAUUAAUAGUUAUUAAUGUUAUUGUGUUGUAAAUGUAUGUCAGUGGGAUUUUUAAAAUUAUGACUUAGGUAGUAGACAAAGGGAGAGACAAAUUCUAAAUUAUAUUUAGGGCUGUUUAUUUUUUUGUGCCAUAACCGAGUUGGAUUAAUCUUGAGCAAAAAUAUGGUUGGGGUCUGUCAUUGCAUCUCAGUAGUCCACAGUUUCUUCAAAUAUAUUAAUGAUGAAUUGAAUCUUCACUUGAGUUUGGUGUGAUAUCAAGGCAGGAUGUCUCCAGAAAGGUUAUGGAGGAUUCUUCCAGUGUUAAAUUCUGUGCAGCUGACAUACAUUUUACUGAAUUGAACACAAGACUAUAGUGUAUUCAUUAUUCAUUAUCUUGGUCAGGAAAGUUCCAUUUUUUUAGACCCAAACUAUACCAUCCUUAAUCCCUUUCAUUAGAUCAGCAACUGUAUUAGAAUUAGAUAUUCUUGGAUGAAAAUGCUCAUAUUUUUUUAGAUUGAAAAAUCUGUAUUUGUAAAGAGAACAAAACCUCUUUAUUUUAUUGACAGUUAACAUGACUUCUUACAUUUUCUAUCAUUUAGGAUAUUUCCAAUUCUAUUGUAAAGAAAGUGUAUGUAGAUUCAUAAGGUAGAUAAUAUGUAAUUAACGCACAUAAUGCACAAUUAACCAUACAUGUAUAGGAUACAAAUAUCCAUUGCAUUUAGAAAGAAAAUUAUCCCUUAUUGGUGAAUGGUAUCUUGUUAUUCAUAAAAUACUUACCAAGCAAGAAGUAGAAGCAUUGAAGCUCUAAGGGUCAUAUUGAUAACCAGCAUUGAAGUUUAUGCAGCCUAAGAAGAACUGGUCUGAGAGAGAUCUUGUAGCCUUAAGUUGAGUUACUAAAGUAAGUUAAGGGGACAUAUUACAUGAACAAGUAUGGUGUACCUGUCUGCAAGGAGAGAAUAGUAGUAUUGUGUUUCAAUGCUUCCUGCAGUAAUAUAGGUUGAUCUUAAUAUUAUAAUCAUUACAAAGGCAAUUCUUAAUUCCAUACAUUGUACAUGUUUCCUUUGCCCAUACUAUUGUUUUUCCAUCAUGAUAUCAAAGACUAACUUGUAAAAUUUUAAAUAACUUAUGUCAACUGUAUUUUCUUGACAUAUAUUGCUGUAUAUUUUCUUAUGACAGGUUUUUGUUAAAUAAUGUAUAGUGCUGUGGUGGUCCUAACAGCUUUGGAGAUAAUGUAUGUCCUAGGUAUUUAUCCUUUGAAUUACAGCUUUUGUAAUGAUUAAAACAUUCAAGAAUACUGGAUAUUAAAAAGUGACUGAUACGUGUUAAAUGUGCCUUGUAUGUUGAACUGUCUCACUUCUGUUGACUAUAGUUUAUCAUAGACUUGUAUCUUAAAAAUGCAUUUACAGUAAAUAGUUCAUAGGUUUAGAACAAGCUUUAACAAAAUACACUGGUUAUAUAGAUACUGUACACAUGUUCCCUUUUUUUAUUGAUAUCUAAUAAAUAUAUACUUGAUUUA